CUGGACGCAAAUUGAAGGAGAGAGCCAUUCUGAGAAUGAAUGCAUGGCAACAGAAAGAUGCGCGGUCAUCUUCCAUACGAAUGAGAGCGCUGGUUCAUUCAUAUGACCCAUCCCAUCUUUCAAAGAGGAUGAAAAACUGUCAACAGCAAUUUAGUUCCACAUCCACAAACAGGCAAAGCAUCAAAGCUUUAAAGGUGCCAAAAGAGAGAAAAGUCGCUGUAUUGUGGGGUGGGAUGCCCUUCCCAGCUGGGUGUCCCAGUGUGUAGGGACAAGGACUACCUGCAAGCUAGAGCAGCCUUGUCUGAUCCCUCUCUUCAGGACAGAGCUCUACUCCAUUCUGCCUCUCCUCUGCUUGUGUCUGCUUACAUUCUGUCAGCUGACAGACCCCAUCAUGCUGCUCACCUUGUGCUGGGGAGCAUGCGUGGAUGUCCUGCGAUUCAUCAGCUCUGGACUCUGUCCUGCCUGUGAACUGUGCUGCAUGGCACCAUGCUGAGUGCAGGGAGCAAAGCAUGGCGCAGACCUUAAAAGGAGCAACGCUUGUGAGCCCCCCAGGUGUUUUAAUAUCCUGAAGAAGCCCAUGACCUCCAGAGAGCUCAGUCUGCUGCACCGUCACCUCCAGCCACACAUUCCAUGCGCUUGCCACCUGCAGAACAUACUAAACAGUUCAUGAAGUGGAAGUGGGGGUGGAGGAGACCAAAUAAAAUGGGGAGGCCUUUCUGUGGAGACAUCCGUGUAUUGGCAUGAAUGGAGACAGAAACAGAGGCGUGAACAUAAGAGUCCUUAAUCAUUCCCAUUCACUUUGUGAGUCUAACAGUCAGUCAUGGGGACUGUGCUGUGUGCAGAGCAGGACUGAGGACUAGACUGUCUGAGGAGUGGAUUGUCUGGCCAUGUUCACUUCCUUCUUCAUUCCUGUUUCAUUGUACUUUCAUAUUUUAUUACUCUCAACCUUGAUAAAAAUUUCAAACUGGUUUUCACUUUCUUGCUACUAUAAACAUGUGGUUGCCUGUACAUUAAUGUGCGUGUGUAUGUUUGUGUGUGAAGGAGUAUAAAACAAAAUGUACUCAUUGUCUCCAAAUCUACUCGCAUUUCAACAUCAUGUAUGCUUACAAAACUGGGCUCCAAUUACCAUACUUCCAAUAAAAUUGACCCAAUAACA